GUCUUAUAGUCAAAUAUGAUGUUAAAUUGCAAGUUUAAAGGUGAAUUUAAGUCUAAGGCUUA
rnacentral:tRNA from 1 species